rnacentral:lncRNA from 1 species
UCGUGACUGUAUCGUUUGUUUACCUUCCUGGUUGAAAUAUUUUAUCAAGUUAAAGACAUUUGUGUAACUCCUUCAAAUUCAGGUAAAAUUAUUGCUGUUUAAUUUCAUUCAAUGACAUAUAAAGAAAGGAAUAGUAUUAAAACAAUCUGAUCUCCAAUACGUAUAGUUUACAUGUUUUGACAAGUAAUUUUGUGACACAGAAUGCAAUUGAUGGUCUCUAAAACACAUUUUUUCUCCGUGUACACUAACGAAAAAAAGGUUUUGUCCUGUAUACAAUGUUUCCCCAUCACGUUUAAUGAAACGUCAAGUAUGGUUUAAUAAAUUCUUAUAGAUUGCGCCAACUGGCCAUAGCUACAUAACAUGCAUAAUGAAUAGAAAUAUCCAUUUUGAUAAUCUUCAUACUAGUCUUUCAAGGGUUAUCUAACUUUAACCGUCAAAACCUAAAAAUUGUUAAUACGUUUUAUCUAUAAAUAUAAUUUCAGCAAUUUCUUAAUUUUUUUCUAAAAAGUCAAUGCUGAUUAUCAAAGUAUGCCCUAAUUCCGUAAAGACGAUUUUCGUCUUGCAUGUACAUCAGUAAUAACAAAUUAACAUAGAAAAACAAGUUUUGUUCAUAUCACUUUAACCCCUAGUUUUUGGUGUGGUUCGUGUUGUUUAUUCUUUAGUUUUCUAUGUUGUGUCGUGUGUACUUUUGUUUGUCUGUUUGUCUUUUUCAUUUUUGGUAAUGGCGUUGUCAGUUUAUUUUCGGUUUAUGAGUUUGACUGUCCCUUUGGUACCUUUCGUCCCUUUUUUUAAUAUCUUUAGAAUACAUUGUGGACCAUUUUUUUUUUAAAUUCUAGCUUAAUCUGCAUCCAGUGUUCACUCCCAAUGAUCAGUUAAAGUGCAUAUUAAUAUAAUAGCUCUUUUUGCUUUCAGCAAUGAAUCUGUUUCUCUUGUUGCAUAGCUGUGAUGUUUUCACUCAGCUGGCACAUAUCUCUUAAAACUAUAUACCUUCAUUCUUUUAUAUAUUAAAGUAUAAACUUGUUUAAUUCAGAGACGAGUGUGUGUUGUAAUGGGAAGUUCAUUCAUACAUGUUCAAUCGAUCUGUAAGCUAAAAACAGUUGGAAUGCCAAAUCAUCCAAUCUGAAACGCAAAUUAGUGACAAUUAUCUCUUAUACAUAAGAGAAAUGGAACACUGUAUAUAUUAAUUUCAUAUUUGCAUAUGGAGAUGAAUUUAUUUUUUGCGAACUUCUCGGGUUUUAAUUUAAGAAAGAUACUUGAAAAGUAUCUAUAAUGAUAGUAACGUUAAAAAAAACAGCAGGUAAGGCUUGUAAAAACAGUUUCACAACCCUCUGUAAUUUUUCAGAUUUAUAUACUUCCACUAAAUAUGACUAUUUAGGAAAUAUACUUUAAUUUGAAAUGUUGCAUUUAAUAAUAAUAGAUUAUAGACACGUUUUGAAUGUAAAAGUUCUUUUUUUAAAUUUUGGACACGACCAGUUUUCUAGUUGUCAUAUAAAUUAUUUGAUACUUUGAUACCACUUGGAAAAUAUGGUUCAUGGAUGAGUAUCGUCCUGUGCUUAGCUAAAUGGGAAACAUUGUACUGCGUGUCAUACUUUGGCUUUACUAGCAAAAUGUAUUAUAAAACAUCAUUUAAUAUUACUAGAAGAACAAACUUUGGAGAUUUCCUAUUGAUUAUUGUAUUACAGUUUAAAUUCGUUUGUAAAAUGAUAAAGAAGAUUUAUCGUUUAAAUAGAUGCAAAUAGAAGCAUAUUAUCAUAAUAAACGAAAAACAUUUAUUUUUAUUAAAAGUGCUCGUGCUUCUAAAUAAAGGCAACAAUAGUAUACCGGUGUUCAAAAGUCCCAAAUCGAUUGAGAGAAAACAAAUCUGAGUUACAACCCAAAACCACAGGAACAAAUCAACUAUAAGAGGGAAACAAAGGAACAGCAGGAACACUAAAGUGCAACAAAAACAAACACAAACAUACAUAAAUACAAACUAUUUGAUAACAACUGCCAUAUUCGUGACUUGGUAUAGGACAUUUUAAGAAACAAUGAUGGGUUGACCUGGUCAAAUGGCUAGGUAAAACUUCCACCGUAUGAUAAAGUCAAGGUCUUUAAUGUUCGACACAAAGGCUUCCAAAUUUGUUUAUUAAGACAGAUAUUUCAACAUAAGUGCUGAAGUAAUAAGUUAUUUACGUAAAAUAGUUGUAAUAAAGAUUUUACUUUAUGUUGCUAUCUUCAUUCUAUAAUAAAACUAAGCAAUCCAUUAAAUGGACAAUACAUAUUUUAAAAGGCAGAAAACAACAACCACUCAUAUACAGGCUCCUUACAAGGGACCGGCAUAUAUAGAAUGUGUCAGGGUUAACAUAAGAGACACUGAAUACAGAUAUUAGAAUACUCGCAGAUAUUUUGCUAUAAUAAAAUAUACAAGGCUACAAGGUAAUGACUCAAACUCUGUUGAAUUUUUCUUUUAAGAUUAACAAAUGUAGUAAAGAUAACAAAUCUGAAUUUUUGAAAUAUUUUGAACGGUCAAUAUAUACUUUUUCUUGCAGAUGAUGGCAAGCUCUGAACCUUCAUGUGCUGUAUGUGAAUAUCAACAUGUCUUAAAAUCUGCCUCCAUAUGGUGUUCAGAUUGUGAUGAAGGCCUCUGUAUAGACUGCAGUAAGCAUCAUGGAAUUUCAAAAGCAACAAGAAAGCAUGUAACUAUUCCGAUAUCAGAAUAUAAAUUAUUGCCGACUUACAUUACAAAUUGUAAGCAGACAUGUAGUACUCAUGAUGAAAAGUAUCUGAUUUACUGUAAUGAACAUGAAUGCGCGUGUUGCAGUAAGUGCAUCGUUGAAAGGCACACAAAAUGUCAAAAUAUAUCAAAUCUAGAUGAUGUUGUCAAAAACACAAAGACAUCAAACGCUUUUCUGGAAAUUCAUGAAUCAGUUAAUGAAGUUGCAGAAAAUAUCAAACGGAUCCGUCAAGAUGAAAACAACAAUCUGAAAACAUUGUCCGAACAAAGAAAACAGAUCGAACGUGAUGUUCAACAAGUUCGAUUAAACAUCAAUCGGCAUCUCGAUAAACUACAAGAGGACUUCAUAUUAGAAUUGUAUGAGAUCGAAAAAAGAGGAAAUAAAAAAAUCAAUCAGUUAAUGAAAGCUUUAGAAAAGCAUGAAAGUAAAGUUGCCGAGCACCAAAAGAAUAUAGCAAACAUAAAACAACACGCAUCAGAUCUACAGACUUUCCUAGCUCUGAAACAGAUUGAAAGUGAUGUUGAUAAAAAUUGUCAGUUUAUUGAUUCAAUUACUGAAAGUAAUGUUCUUAAUCGUGUGGAGAUCAAGUUUAACAUUACUACAUCACUGACUGACAUUGAAAAUAGUGUUCUUGAGUUUGGAAAAGUAUUUAUUGACAUCUCUAAUAGCUCAGUGAACAUUGUGAAGAAAAAGCAACAACAAGCUCAGUUGAUAUUACCUAAAGUAUCAUCAAUUGUGCCCAUUGAGAAUAUACAAGUCAAGUUAGAACAGACUAUAUAUACCAAAUCAUCCUUUGCUAGUGGAUGUUGCAUAUUGCCUGAUAGUAGGUUUGUAUUCGCCUGUCCUGAAUUAAACAAAGUUACUGUAGUUAAACAAGACGGGACGGUUGACUUUGUUUUGAAUGUAACAGCAGCAAAUGAUGUAGCGUACAACGAUAAAGAUAACACUAUAGCGAUAACAUCCUUUUGGAGAAGCAUUGGCAAUCAAAUAACAAUAAUCGAUUUAUUUAAACGAAAAGUAGAGAAAACUUUUUCACCUGGAGGACAAACCGAUGGCAUAGCAGUGACAAAUAACACACUGCUGUAUCACAUAUACAAUAAAUCAAUUCGGGUCAUGGAUCUGACUGACGAAUCAACACGUGAUAUAACUACUGAGCACAUGGACACAGAAAUCAACAUAACAAUAUCUGGACACAAACUUUAUUAUUCCAGUUAUAAUUAUCAUACAGUAAUAUGCUGCGAUCUGCAAGGUACAACACAAUGGACAUUCAAAAAUGAAAAAGUUUUAGCGAAACCACUUGGAAUAUCAGCUGACAAUGCUGGUAACGUGUAUGUUGCAGGAUUUCAAUCAAAUAAUGUCGUGGUUAUCUCCCCUGAUGGACAAACACAUAGAGAACUCUUAACUGAAAGAGAUGGUUUAUAUUACCCAUGUUCAAUUAACUUUAGAAAGGAAACUAAUCAGUUAUUAGUUACAAAUAAUUCUAAGAAAGCGUAUUUGUAUAACGUAUCUAGUAAUUAAACCACUUCAAUAUUAUAUCUUAAUGCAGUAUUGAAUGAAAUGGAGAAUAAAAGAUACAUAUAUACAAAAAAAAACACAUAGUUGCAUGGAAACACAAUUGCUAGUAAAAUGUACUUUAUAGAACAGCCCGGAUUUUUCCUGAUAUUCAGAAUUGAAACCAGGAAAUUGAUUGUUUAUACAAGCAUUUGAAUGAUUAGGUUAAGUGCUUCUCUCACAGUUGGUGUCCACUGAUGUUAUAAAAAAAACACGGAUGUUCAUUUGGUCAAGAUUAUUUAACUUACAGUUUCUACACUAAAUACAUUAUAUUUU